GGGUUGUGAGGUUAAGCGACUAAGCGUACACGGUGGAUGCCCUGGCAGUCAGAGGCGAUGAAGGGCGUGCUAAUCUGCGAUAAGCGCCGGUAAGGUGAUAUGAACCGUUAUAACCGGCGAUACCCGAAUGGGGAAACCCAGUGUGAUUCGUCACACUAUCAUUAACUGAAUCCAUAGGUUAAUGAGGCGAACCGGGGGAACUGAAACAUCUAAGUACCCCGAGGAAAAGAAAUCAACCGAGAUUCCCCCAGUAGCGGCGAGCGAACGGGGAGGAGCCCAGAGCCUGAAUCAGCAUGUGUGUUAGUGGAAGCGUCUGGAAAGGCGCGCGAUACAGGGUGACAGCCCCGUACACAAAAGCGCAUGUGCUGUGAGCUCGAUGAGUAGGGCGGGACACGUGGUAUCCUGUCUGAAUAUGGGGGGACCAUCCUCCAAGGCUAAAUACUCCUGACUGACCGAUAGUGAACCAGUACCGUGAGGGAAAGGCGAAAAGAACCCCGGCGAGGGGAGUGAAAAAGAACCUGAAACCGUGUACGUACAAGCAGUGGGAGCACAGGUUUACCUGUGUGACUGCGUACCUUUUGUAUAAUGGGUCAGCGACUUAUAUUCUGUAGCAAGGUUAACCGAAUAGGGGAGCCGGAGGGAAACCGAGUCUUAACCGGGCGUUAAGUUGCAGGGUAUAGACCCGAAACCCGGUGAUCUAGCCAUGGGCAGGUUGAAGGUUGGGUAACACUAACUGGAGGACCGAACCGACUAAUGUUGAAAAAUUAGCGGAUGACCUGUGGCUGGGGGUGAAAGGCCAAUCAAACCGGGAGAUAGCUGGUUCUCCCCGAAAGCUAUUUAGGUAGCGCCUCGUGAAUUCAUCUCCGGGGGUAGAGCACUGUUUCGGCUAGGGGGCCAUCCCGGCUUACCAACCCGAUGCAAACUGCGAAUACCGGAGAAUGUUAUCACGGGAGACACACGGCGGGUGCUAACGUCCGUCGUGAAGAGGGAAACAACCCAGACCGCCAGCUAAGGUCCCAAAGUCAUGGUUAAGUGGGAAACGAUGUGGGAAGGCCCAGAC
rnacentral:rRNA from 1 species